GUCUUGGUAGUGUAAUGGUAACAUGCCUGCUCCAAUUAGAUACUUGAUGAUGUACGUUUCAGCGGGAGUCCCUUGUUUGAUUCAAGGUCAGGACA